CAUUCGAUUUUAAUCAAUAUUAUCAUUAUUUACAACUUCAGAUGUUGCGUGUUUUAAUUGAUUGUCGAAAAUCGAGUUCAUUUAAAUUAAUUCAAAAUACGUAUCUGUGCUAGUUCUACAAUCUAAGCGAAGUCGCUAAGCCCGCAAGUAAAUACUGUUGUUUGCGUAAACAAUCCCUGCAUCAUCUGGCUACUUUGAUGCCUCGUCCGUAAUGUUACUAACAAGAACAGUCCACUGUACAAGUGCUUAUUACGUAUUUUCACACUCGAGUCUGGAAUAAGAUAAAUUUGGAUACUUACUGGGUACUUCGCAUAGACAGAUCGAUUUGACGAGCGAACGUACACGUAUCUGGCAACCCAGGCGACCGGGCAACGCAAAGGCGCCGUCACUCGAAAAAUGUCUUAUUGGAUCCACUAUCGGUGUUUUUAGGCUCCUCAACCACCGGUUACCAAUACUGGUCGCGAUUCCGUUCCGGUGGCAGAUUCUGCGAAGUACUGCUCUUGGUAAGACUAGUGUUAGCCAAUUCUCUCAGGCUGAGUCCGUGAGCUCACCUACCCGCCCGGUCGUAGCUAGAAUAGCUCACUAGGCUACCAGCGAACGGGUAGUAAAAAAAUUUGGCGACAGAAGUCGAGACCACACAAGGCCACACACUCCCACCAGAGAAUCAUACUCAAGUGUUCUAUGUGAUUUUUACUCACCCGCCCAAUUUUCAUUAGGGUGCUGUGGAAAGACAGAGACCGGAGCUAUUUGUCACGAAAGAUUCUUCCCAUUGUCGCUCGAUUCAUUGAGUAUCUCGCUAAGUCUCUAAGCUCGUAGGAGACGGGUUGAGUUAUACCAAAAGCGGAAUCUAAAACUCCAAAACAGAAGUGCAGAAUUUUGAAUAUCUUAAAUUAAUUAAGCCUUUAUGGUAGGAGCAUAUCGUACGUUAAGACAUUCUUUAGUGUGAGUUAAACAAAAUUUUCUCACACCUCUCUCGCUAACCUGUUAUGUAUAUUAAUUAAUAUUUACAUAAUUUGAUAUAAAAGGUAUUAAAAGAAAAAAAAUUAAAACUAGUUUUACUAAAUGUUUUGCACGAAAAAAUUCCCACCGAAUACGCAAUUAAUUUUGUUAAUUUCAAUCUCAAUUUUCGAAUAUAGUACAGCAAUAAAUUUAUUUAAGCGAAAUGUAGUUCAAUAUUAAAUGUGUGUUUAAACAUUAAACUUAUCAACGUUCAAUGAAA